CUUAUCAACCAUCCCUUCUUCCGGGGACCAUGGAAGUGUCCGGCCGGAAACGCCGGUGUACUUAGCUGGUUCCAUUGGGUGGCACCCAACGUGGCGCAUGACUAUGAGAGAUCAAAGUGAAGGACACUGCUGAAGAGAGAGCACUCGGUACAAGAAAAAAAGGGUGCUGAAAAUGCUUGUUGAUUACCUGAGUGACUGGUGUGGUUUGCAGAGGCUGCCACUGCUUCUGAUCAUACUGAUUCUGUUGAUGAGUGCAACAGGAGAGCCAUACUGGGUUCAUAUGUUCCUGAUCGUCCUCUGCUGCAAUCCUGUUCCUUGGGAUGGUUCAGAAGUACUUAUAUCCACUCAUGACACUCAUUACUAGGCUUUUCUUGGAUUGAGCAACAAGUGACUUCACAGCUGUCAUCAGAAAGGCUGUUCCUAGAUGUUUUGCAAAGAAUGCUACUCAAGAGGGAUGUGUCAUCCUUACAUCACAAACAUGGACUGCCAAUGUCACAAAGAAUACUCAACAAAAUGUCAUGAUGGGUAUGCUCCAGUUUGAAGUGACGAAUAUUUCUCAAGUUUUAUAUCCACAAACUGUCAGACCAUGUUCAUUAAAAUCAGGUGGUUUAUUAGAUUCUACAUAUAAUAAGUCUAUUAAUUGGAAAUGUUAUCACAACAUACUUGUUCAAUUCUCUGUUAGUAAUGUCACCAAGAUAAUUAGCUGAUCAGGGAAUCAAAUGAAUUUAGGCAAUAAAGAGCUUGCUUCAGGAAUUUGGAUUAUUCCUAAGAAUUAUAUUCAAAGGCAUUUAUGGAAAGUGGAUGCAGUAAUGUAUCCUCAUGCUUAUAUUGAUACAAAGGUUAAUAACACUA